rnacentral:lncRNA from 1 species
UUUAGGCGAUGAUUGCAUUGAACAAGUUGCAGACAAGACCUUUUAUGAAAACAGCGUUCUAAUUUGGUAUAUAAUUGUUACAUCAAUUGCUUGAACGUUUCAACUAACAUGCCUUAUUCUUUUUAGAAAGAACGACGUAAUUAUAUUCACUGAAUUCUGGUGUGAGUACCCAUCUUCAAUUUCAAGAAAAAAUAAUUAAUUGAAGCCUUCAAGUGCCGUGGACUGACUUCAAGCUUUGAUGACGAAUGGACAAGAACGCAAGCGUAGCUGUGUCAUAUUGGUUAACAUAUUCUAAUCAAACUGUACUUUGUUUAAAAGACAACUAGGCAAUGAAAUAACUCAACUCUGUUCAGAUUGAUCGAACUCGUUAAAGUGCCUAUGACGCCGAAAUUUCACCCCAAAGGUGGUUAUCGUUGCACUGUAAAGAUCACUUAAAUGACUUAAUUUCUUUUAUAGAAUAUUGGGUAACUUGCUCCCUUUUCAAGAUAUUCAACUUUCUUUCAUAUGCAAAUAU